CCCUUAGAUGUCCUGGGCUGCACGCGCGCUACACUGAUGUGUCCAGUAAGCACCUAACCUCUUCCGAAAGGAACGGGUAACCUUUGCAAAGCACAUCGUGAUGGGGAUAGAUUAUUGCAAUUAUUAGUCUUGAACGAGGAAUUCCUAGUAAGCACAAGUCAUCAGCUUGUGUUGAUUACGUCCCUGCCCUUUUUACACACCGCCCGUCGCUCCUACCGAUUGAAUGUUCCGGUGAGCUCUUCGGACUGCGCGGUCUGCAGUUUCUGCGUUCCGUGCGGAAAGUUGCGCAAACCUUAACAUUUAGAGGAAGGAGAAGUCGUAACA
rnacentral:rRNA from 1 species